AGGACUAACGCUGGCGGCGUGCCUAACACAUGCAAGUCGAACGGGGUAGCAAUACCCAGUGGCAGACGGGUGAGUAACACGUGGUCAACCUACCUCUGUGUGGGGGAUAACUAGCCGAAAGGUUAGCUAAUACCGCAUACGAUCGUUUUGAGGCAUCUCGAGACGAUGAAAGGAGCAAUCCGCACGGAGAGGGGACUGCGUCCCAUUAGUUAGUUGGUGGGGUAACGGCCUACCAAGACUCCGAUGGGUAGCUGGCUUGAGAGAGCGACCAGCCACACUGGAACUGAGAAACGGUCCAGACUCCUACGGGAGGCAGCAGUGAGGAAUUUUCCGCAAUGGGCGAAAGCCUGACGGAGCAACGCCGCGUGAGUGAUGAAGACCUUCGGGUGUAAGCUCUGUCGGAGGGAAGAACACAAUGACGGUACCCUCCAAGAAGCCCCGGCUAACUACGUGCCAGCAGCCGC
rnacentral:rRNA from 1 species